rnacentral:miRNA from 15 species
UGACGGUAGAAACAUGGAAUGCUGGU